rnacentral:rRNA from 1 species
AGAGUUUGAUCCUGGCUCAGAAUGAACGCUGGCGGCGUGCCUAAGACAUGCAAGUCGCACGAGAAAGUAGCAAUAUGAGUAAAGUGGCGCACGGGUGAGUAAUAAUUAGGUAACGCGCCUUCUCGCUGAGAACAACCAGGCGAAAGCUUGGCUAAUACUGAAUGACUCGUUUGGGGACUGCGGUCCUGAUCGAUAAAGCCUUACGGCGCGAGAAGAGCGGCUUAAUUCCCAUUAGCUAGUUGGUGAGGUAACGGCUCACCAAGGCUUUGAUGGGUAGCUGGUCUGAGAGGACGACCAGCCACACUGGAACUGGAACACGGUCCAGACUCCUACGGGAGGCAGCAGUUAGGAAUUUUGCGCAAUGGACGAAAGUCUGACGCAGCAACGCCGCGUGAGGGACGAAGGCCUUCGGGUUGUAAACCUCUUUUAGCUGGGACGAAAAAAAUGACGGUACCAGCAGAAACAGCACCGGCUAACCCUGUGCCAGCAGCCGCGGUAAUACAGGGGGUGCAAGCGUUAUUCGGAAUUAUUGGGCGUAAAGCGCGUGUAGGCGGUUUACUAAGUUUGGUGUGAAAGCCCUGGGCUCAAUCCAGGAAGCGCAUUGAAUACUGGUAGACUUGAGUAUUGGAGAGGCAGGCGGAAUUCCCGGUGUAGAGGUGAAAUUCGUAGAUAUCGGGAGGAACAACAGUGGCGAAGGCGGCCUGCUGGACAAUUACUGACGCUAAGGCGCGAAAGCGUGGGGACAACAGAUUAGAUACCCUAGUAGUCC